rnacentral:sRNA from 1 species
UUUCGAUGUGAGUGCCGUCGGCCGGUAGCUGACCGUUACACUCCAGGAAUCAAGUCUUUCCGGAUGCCUCCGGACCCCCGGAGGCGUUCAGUCAGCAGCCGCUGCAACCCCAGGGAG